ACAUGCCUACAACAUAGUGUUAAUGCAUUUGAUCCCAUUAGAACUCUGCAAUUAAGCAUGCUCAAGCUAGAAUAGUAUUGGGAUGGGUGACCGACUGGGAAGUCCUAGUAUUUUACAUGCC
rnacentral:rRNA from 1 species